rnacentral:lncRNA from 1 species
CUGGCACAGUGCUGCAUUUUGGAUUAAGGAUGAGAAUAAUGUUGAUAACACAUUGAUAUUUUAGUUGUUGCUAAGCAGUGCUUACAUUAAGUCAAGGAUUUUUCAGUUUCUCAGACUGCCCUGCCAGCAAGAAGACUGGGGAAACACAAGGAGCUGGGAGGGGAUGGGACCAGGACAACUGACCCAAACUGGCCGAAGGGAUAUUCCAUACCAGAUGACAUCAUGCUAAAUGAUAACACUGGGAGGGGGGAACUAAAUGAUAACACUGGCUGCGGCAGGGAGAGAUUGCUGCGUGGGGACUGGCUGGGUGAUGAGCAACAGCAUUGUGCAUCACUUGUUCCAGAUAUUCUUUUAUCAUUAUUAUUAUUAUUAUUUUCCCUUUGUUUUCCAUCCUCCUAAACUGUCAUUAUCUCAACUCAUGUGUUUUACCUUUUCUUCCAGUUUUCUCCCACAUCCCACUGGUGGAUACUGAGCGAAGGACUGUAUGUUGCAGAUGGCCUGCACCAGAAGUCCAAAGCUCUGAUGCGACAUCUCUGGAGACCUGCAGACAGGAAGGGGUCUCAUGUAAGAAGAGAGAUCCACAGACAACACCAGGCAACCUCUGUGUGGUCAAGAUUCCUUGUAAUUUCACCAUGCUUACAUACAUGCGUGGAGGCCCUAAGCCACCAUGCACAGCCAGAGCAAAUCCACAGAUUCAGAAAUCCCUGUUCAUGAAGACUAACCAGGAGUAUUUUUGCAUUAAAGAGGUCUGCACCCCAUCCCCACCAUGGGAAAAUUCUGAAGAGAGCUGAAGAAUAGUGAAAGGAGAUAAAAGGAAAGGAGGUGUGAAAGCAAGAGUGGAUGGAUGGAUUGAUGGAUGACAGUACAUAUCUGCACUGGCAGAUCAGCAGAUGGGAUGCAUUUGGGGACAGGCAGAUGCAGAAGUAUACAGAGGCAAGAAUUUUUGUUAAGUAGAUGGAUAGAUGGACAAACAAGUGGAUGGAAGAAUGGAUGGGUGGAUGAAUGGAUGGGUGGAUGGAUGACUUAGAAGGUGGAGGGAUCCAUUUUUGAAGAGAUGAGUGGGUACCCAUCAUAAACAGUAGAGUGUUAAUAUGGCUGCACAAGAGAUUGCACCUGUGAAGUAUAUUCUUGAAGUAACACGCAAGGGCAGACUGAAAGGCCAGGCAACGUGGAGGAACAUAGCAGAGAGAGAAAUGAAGCCAGGGUCCAUGGUGGCAGAGC